rnacentral:rRNA from 1 species
AUUGAACGCUGGCGGCAGGCCUAACACAUGUAAGUCGAGCGGAUGAAGGGAGCUUGCUCCUGGAUUCAGCGGCGGACGGGUGAGUAAUGCCUAGGAAUCUGCUUGGUAGUGGGGGAUAACGUCCGGAAACGGGCGCUAAUACCGCAUACGUCCUGCGGGAGAAAGUGGGGGAUCUUCGGACCUCACGCUAUCAGAUGAGCCUAGGUCGGAUUAGCUAGUUGGUGGGGUAAAGGCCUACCAAGGCGACGAUCCGUAACUGGUCUGAGAGGAUGAUCAGUCACAUGGGAACUGAGACACGGUCCAGACUCCUGCGGGAGGCAGCAGUGGGGAAUGUUGGACAGUGGGCGAAAGCCUGGUCCAGCCGUGCCGCGUGUGUGAAGAAGGUCUUCGGAUUGUAAAGCACUUUAUGUUGGGAGGAAGGGCAGUAAGUUAAUACCUUGCUGUUUUGACGUUACCAACAGAAUAAGCACCGGCUAACUUCGUG